CUCUUAAGUUCCAGAGCCAAAUGGCAUUUGCUAGUUGUAGGACAAAACUUUCUAUUGAAGGAGAGAUUCAAAAAUUUCUAAUCAAACCCACAGUAAGGUCCUUUCCUCAACCUUCCUUGCUGAUGGCAAAAGCUUGUUAGAUAUCAGGAGGAAGGGAGGAGGUGUAUUUACACUAACAGUGAUAGUGGGUGCACUGGCCUGAUAGGUGACCACUCCUCCUGUCCACUCUGAUUGCAUGACAGCUGUCUGUAAUUGGCCACACACUUCUAGGUAUAGAUAGAUGCAUUCUCGUGGAGGGAUCCUGCAGACAGCUGCAUUCUUCCAGUCGGGUGCUAUAGUCAGCUCACUUUCAGUGGCUUAUAUUGUAAUCAGCCACAUUCUUACAUUAAUAUGUUAUAGCCCUUCCUCCUUAGGCUGUAUGUUGUUACCCUGUCAAUGUCACUUGCUGUAGUCAAUCAGGCAGGCACAGCCUGAUAGGUGUACGGAAGAGACAGAAGUUUUUUACUGUGAGAGAAGCACAUAUGCUCUGGGUCACUGUAGCACUGUAACCUCAUGCUAUUACCAGACCUCUGUCCUUUAAACUAUAACAUGGAGUCAGAUGGCUCAGCCAUAUGUUGGCUUGCACACGUUUUCAGUGAAGUCACUUCACUAGCAAGGACUGUGCUGUCAGUUUCCAGUGGCCUCUUCUCUAUCUACUGUGCUGGAGUGUCACACUUGAUUUGGUGUCUGUCCCUAAGCAAGCUGAAGCUAGUAUGAAGCGGAGGUCCAUGUCAUUCAUGGUGAUGGUGUUCACUUAUGAUGUGAUGAAGAGGUUGAACUACACUACCUGUUGCUAAUGGAACACAAGCCUUGUUCGGAGCAGAGGUGGGUCAAGGCCCCAUGUGUCUACAUAGCAGGAUAACUUCAGUGAUGGAGAAAUCUUGGAAGUCCUGGCGAUUGCUUUCAGAUGACCCCACAGGUCUUCUCAAGGCGUUUUCUGACAGAAUGAGGAAGAGAAACAGCAGUGGUGAUGGGAAAGCUGUUCUGGUGUCAGUCCUUUGGAAUACAGAGAAAACUUGCUCAAGCCCUGAAAUGGCUAUUUUGCACUUGUCUGCCACCUCAUCUGUCUGCUCCUGUCUGCCAUGUGACGACAUGUGAUGUCUUACUAGCCAAGUAUUUGUGCUAGAAUAUGGAUUUAAUAACAGGGCAGCCAGGCAAGAGUCUUACCCUCCAGAAAGCAAACUCAUGGAGCUUCUAUUUGGAAUGGCUAUGCAUGGUGAAACAUAUAACAAGAACUGCUGUCUAGAUAUGGAAAAGAGAAAGUACUUUCUUUUUUAUGUCCAAACACUGUCCUGAAGUUUCUCUACACAGACAUUUCAUAUUAAUUAGCAUGUGCAAACCUUUUCUAGCAUGCUGCUUUCUCCAUGGUUACUUAACUUAGGACCAUAGCUAUAGAAGUUCUCAAAAACUCUAAAAUUAGACAAGGAAGACUCACGAAGUUUGCCAGUAAGGUUUUAAAGGGAAAUUAUUUUUUCAGAAUUAGGGGAGCGAGUCUUUUUUUUUUUUUUUGCCUGUGAAAUUUGCCUGAUUCAUGCAGAAUGACUGGUUUCAGCCAAAGAAAAGGCUUCUCCUUUUUGUAAUUUCUCAUCAGCUUUACCGACAAUGUGAGUUUCACUUCACAUAUCCUAUGUCACCCUGAUUUCCAAAAUAAAAUUUGAGAGGUUUAAUGAAAUUACA
ensembl:lncRNA